GACGAACGCUGGCGGCGUGCCUAAUACAUGCAAGUUGAGCGCUGAAGGUUGGUACUUGUCCCGACUGGAUGAGCAGCGAACGGGUGAGUAACGCGUGGGGAAUCUGCCUUUGAGCGGGGGACAACAUCUGGAAACGAAUGCUAAUACCGCAUAAAAACUUUAAACACAAGUUUUAAGUUUGAAAGAUGCAAUUGCAUCACUCAAAGAUGAUCCCGCGUUGUAUUAGCUAGUUGGUGAGGUAAAGGCUCACCAAGGCGAUGAUACAUAGCCGACCUGAGAGGGUGAUCGGCCACAUUGGGACUGAGACACGGCCCAAACUCCUACGGGAGGCAGCAGUAGGGAAUCUUCGGCAAUGGACGAAAGUCUGACCGAGCAACGCCGCGUGAGUGAAGAAGGUUUUCGGAUCGUAAAACUCUGUUGGUAGAGAAGAACGUUGGUGAGAGUGGAAAGCUCAUCAAGUGACGGUAACUACCCAGAAAGGGACGGCUAACUACGUG
rnacentral:rRNA from 1 species